GAUGAAGAACGCAGCGAAAUGCGAUAAGUAAUGUGAAUUGCAGAAUUCAGUGAAUCAUCGAAUCUUUGAACGCACAUUGCGCCCGCCAGUAUUCUGGCGGGCAUGCCUGUCUGAGCGUCAUUUCAACCCUCAUGCCCCUAGGGCGUGGUGUUGGGGAUCGGCCAAAGCCCGCGAGGGACGGCCGGCCCCUAAAUCUAGUGGCGGACCCGUCGUGGCCUCCUCUGCGAAGUAGUGAUAUUCCGCAUCGGAGAGCGAUGAGCCCCUGCCGUUAAACCCCCAACUUUCCAAGGUUGACCUCAGAUCAGGUAGGAAUACCCGCUGAACUUAAGCAUAUCGAUAAGCGGAGGA
rnacentral:misc_RNA from 1 species